CGAAUGCUGACAUAAGUAACGAUAAAGCGGGUGAAAAGCCCGCUCGCCGGAAGACCAAGGGUUCCUGUCCAACGUUAAUCGGGGCAGGGUGAGUCGACCCCUAAGGCGAGGCCGAAAGGCGUAGUCGAUGGGAAACAGGUUAAUAUUCCUGUACUUGGUGUUACUGCGAAGGGGGGACGGAGAAGGCUAUGUUGGCCGGGCGACGGUUGUCCCGGUUUAAGCGUGUAGGCUGGUUUUCCAGGCAAA
rnacentral:rRNA from 1 species